rfam:Triticum aestivum genome assembly, contig: Triticum_aestivum_CS42_TGACv1_scaffold_273917_3DS
GGACUAUGGUGCAGCCAAGGAUGACUUGCCGAUCGAACAAUGAUACAUCAUCAUAUCAUAUACAUUGAUCCAUCGGCGAGUUGUUCUUGGCUACAUCUUAGCUCCU